rnacentral:rRNA from 1 species
AGUGGUUUCUUAAGUCUGAUGUGAAAGCCCACGGCUCAACCGUGGAGGGUCAUUGGAAACUGGGGAACUUGAGUGCAGAAGAGGAUAGUGGAAUUCCAAGUGUAGCGGUGAAAUGCGUAGAGAUUUGGAGGAACACCAGUGGCGAAGGCGACUGUCUGGUCUGUAACUGACACUGAGGCGCGAAAGCGUGGGGAGCAAACAGGAUUAGAUACCCUGGUAGUCCACGCCGUAAACGAUGAGUGCUAAGUGUUAGGGGGUUUCCGCCCCUUAGUGCUGCASUAACGCAUUAAGCACUCCGCCUGGGGAGUACGACCGCAA